AAAAAUUUGUUCGAGCAGUGAACAAUAUUGUUGCAGCAAAUAAAAUUGUUUUAACAAUUAACUUGAGAUAAAAAUGUCUAAUGAGCAACUGAAUAAGUCGCCAGCUACUGCUACUGCCCAAACAGCUGCAGCCCAAUUUCAGUGGAAUGUUAAUAAAUAUCUAUUGGAAGCUGAUCCUUUCAUAAGUAACUUUAGCCCUAAAGCUGAAACAAGUUUUCGAACAAAUUCUAUUUAGCAGUUAAAUUCAAAAAAUCCCAACAGCUUGAGGUUAUAGACAGCGCUGAAUUAGAGCGACGCGUUCCAGAUCUGUGGAACUAUUUUAAAUAUUUUAACCAUUUUGAACCCUAAGCUGCCUCGCUUUGUGGCAAGUGUCUGCGGCUUAUAGAUUUCACUUUAUGAUAACUUAUAUAUAUUUUUUUUUGCAUUAAGCAUUUUCAAUUCAGCAACUGUUUUAUAUAUUCUAUAUACGUGCUGCCACAUGUGGCUGCAACCAACAAUAGCCGCAUAUUGUGGCAACAAUAAAAAGAGAGAGCUUACACACACACACACACACUGGCGCGAAUUAUGAGGAAUUGUCGCUAGGCUAGGCACUCGGCCAAAAUGCAAAUUGUGCAACACACACACACACACACACACACACAGACACACACCUUGCCACUUGUUUAGUGGCCGUGCCGGCCUUGCUGAGUGCUCAUAAAUAUGCAUUCGAGUGGCGACUCUAUGACCAUUGUGCAGUUGCCACCGCAUAUUAGUGGCAAAUAUUGUUGGCCGACAAUGCAAACCGCUUGUUGAAAAAUGAAAUUGUUUUUCAUUUUGAUAUUUUUAUUGUU